AUUGAACGCUGGCGGCAUGCUUUACACAUGCAAGUCGAACGGCAGCGCGGGCUUCGGCCUGGCGGCGAGUGGCGAACGGGUGAGUAAUGCAUCGGAACGUGCCCAGUAGUGGGGGAUAGCCCGGCGAAAGCCGGAUUAAUACCGCAUACGACCUGAGGGUGAAAGCGGGGGACCGAAAGGCCUCGCGCUAUUGGAGCGGCCGAUGUCGGAUUAGCUAGUUGGUGGGGUAAAGGCUUACCAAGGCGACGAUCCGUAGCUGGUCUGAGAGGACGACCAGCCAAAUGGGAAUGGAGACAGGCCCAAGAUCCCUAGGGGAGGCAGCGGGGGGAAAUUUGGGAAAAGGGGGGAAACCUGAACCAGGCAAGGCGGGGGGGGGAAAAAGGGCCUUCGGUUGGUAAACGGUUUUGUUUGGGAAAAAAAUCCUCGGGGUAAAUACCCGGGGGGAUGACGGUACCGGAAGAAUAAGCACCGGCUAACUACGUG
rnacentral:rRNA from 1 species